UACGUAGGGUGCAAGCGUUGUCCGGAAUUAUUGGGCGUAAAGAGCUCGUAGGCGGUUUGUUGCGUCGGCUGUGAAAUCCCGAGGCUCAACCUCGGGUCUGCAGUCGAUACGAGCAAACUAGAGUGUUGCAGGGGAGAUUGGAAUUCCUGGUGUAGCGGUGGAAUGCGCAGAUAUCAGGAGGAACACCAAUGGCGAAGGCAGAUCUCUGGGCCGUAACUGACGCUGAGGAGCGAAAGCAUGGGGAGCGAACAGG
rnacentral:rRNA from 1 species